AAAAAGAAAAAAAAGCUGUAGGAGAUAACCGUGUAUAUGCUCACAGAGUUGUGCAAGGAUUUUAUGUAGAAAUUGCUUAGGAAAAGUGUAUGAACAGUCUUUUUAAACGUGACGGGGAAAGCCACAUUUCCAACCCCAAACUGUACCGGUUUGCACACCCAGAGAGGGAGUGCCUUCCCCCGCCCCGCCCCACGGAGACUCCAGCCUUUUCAUCUCCGCCCGCCUGAACGGGAUGAACCUCCAUCCUCCAGCUACCCCCCAGCCCAGCCUGCUGGAGGAACAGGCCCCGUCAGCCUCUCCGGGCAGGCACCUCCACCGGGCGGCCUCCGGGACUUCUUGAUCACUGCCUGCGUGCCCUCCCUGCCACGCUCUUCCCUGUCCCUCCCAGCUUGAAAUCCUCAGUGGCCGCAUGUGUCACCUAUGAAAGCGCAGAGCUCUGGCUGGGGUGCAGAGCCCGUCCGCUCGGCCCUCGGCUGCGAGUGGCAGGACAGGUGUGCUGAGGUCUCUCCUCUCCGUGCCCUCUGGACGCCUCCCCCUUCGCAGUAGUGCAGUGCCGUCUGGCGUCCCUGGGCAGUGGGGCCUCCCACUGGGCGCCCACUUGAGGCACAACUGGGGUCUCCAUUCCUCUCUCCACUCUGGCCCAGCUGGGGUCUCCACUCCUCUCUCUUGUCCACGCUGGACUUGGAGGAGAGCACACACUCAACUUCCCACAGCCUGGGACAUUUCUACCCCAGGCUCCUUCUCUCCUGGCAAGCAGCAGGCACUCAGGCCUUUGCUGGGGCGGGGAGGAAGGAAGGACGGAAGGGAGGAAAUAAAGAAGAAAAGAAGGAAGGAAAAGGAAAGACCAACCUCCCCAGAAGACCAGGCAGCUCCUCCUCAGUGGAGAGGAUGCUGAGGCACUUCUCUACCUUUUCUUAGGAUAUUAACCACACCAGGAAUGGCUCAGCCAGGAGCUGGGGUUCGGAUUUUCCCUCCAUGGAGCCCAGAUAGCAGCAGCCUGCAGCAAAGUCAGAGGUGCUGUUCCCAUUUGCUGCAAAGAUUACCUAGAUGCCCUUGAAUUAUGGGGAACAAGAGCUUGGACACGUGCACACUGUACCUUCUUGGUCCCUUUGCGGUGGGCCGAUUCCAGCCCUGGAGCCUGGCACCACCUGGCGCUGCUGUCCCUCUGCCCACGCUGGGAAAACACCGUUGUAAAUGCUCCUGAACGCAUGCACCCUGUUCUGGUUCCCCUCGGCCCCUGCUCAGGCUUGACCACACCUCUGUCCUGGCCGCUGGGGCUGGCAGCGGAGCUCGGUGGUUUUGAUGGGGGUGACCGGGCCAGGUGUUGUUGGCCUGAGGACCCAGAGGCCUGAAUGGUGAGCAAGAGCCGAUUCCUUGCACUCUCCUUGUUUUACAUCAACGCGUCUAUGAGCGCUAGUUCUGUUCUGCAACAUACGGAUCUACUCUAUUUGAAGCCUUGAAUUCUUCACUAGAGGGUCUUGUUUUCAUGCUUUGGGACGGGGACUCAUCCAAUUUUCCAGGCAGCCUUUGAACUCUCAGUCCUCCUGCAUUAGCAUCCCACAUAACUGGCCACGACACACAGCUGAGACCACACGCAUUCUAACCAGCCACUGGGCACAGCACUGAAGCUGUUUCUGUAAGCCAGGGUGCUGGCCAAGCCUCUCCACUCGUCCCCGCGAGCUGCGGUGCUGGGUGCCCCGCUCUGGUCAUCCCCGCGAGCUGCGGUGCUGGCUGGCCCUCUUUGGCUGGGUAUCAAAGUCGGCUUCUUCCAGGGGCUGGCACACCGGAUGGCUCACAUCCCCAGGCCCUAUGGCAUAAACCCGUCACGAGGAGCUGUCUGUUGGUUUACUGCAAGGCCUUUCUGAGCCAUAGGUUAAUAUAUUAAUGAAGACAGUGGCUGCUCCCCUACAUUAAAUAAUGACUGUGAAUGAUUGGAAGAAAAACAUCUUCAUGUCCCCCUGCAGGGUGUGAGAUUGAUGAGAAUGGAUUGCCCUGCCAAGAGACUCAAAAAUAUUACAACCUUUUAUUCCUCUGCAGCGUGGACAAGUGUGUAUUCAUUUCUAUGUUAUUACAAAAAACCCUCUUCCAAUGAUUCUGAGCUAAAAAC